rnacentral:rRNA from 1 species
GCAGAAAUGCGUAGUCGAUGGGAAACGGGUUAAUAUUCCCGUACUUCAUAUAACUGCGAUGGGAAGACGGAGAAGGUUAGCUCAGCAAGGCGAUGGUUGUCCUUGUUCAAGCGUGUAGAAAUGGUUCUUAGGAAAAUCCGGGAACCUCUAUUUCAAGGCGUGAUAACGAUCCCUCUUUUGGGAGAAGUGAGUGAUACCAUGCUUCCAGGAAAAUCCUCUAAGCUUCAGGUUAUAUGAAACCGUACCCCAAACCGACACAGGUGGACGAGAUGAGAAUUCUAAGGCGCUUGAGAGAACUCGGGUGAAGGAACUAGGCAAAAUGACACCGUAACUUCGGGAGAAGGUGUACUCUUGUUAUGUGAAAUCACUCGCUGAUAGAGCAGAAAAGAGUUGAAAAUACUAGGUGGCUGCGACUGUUUAUUAAAAACACAGCACUCUGCAAACACGUAAGUGGACGUAUAGGGUGUGACUCCUGCCCGGUGCUUGAAGGUUAAUUGAUGAGGUUAGCGCUUGCGCGAAGCUUUUGAUCGAAGCCCAAGUAAACGGCGGCCGUAACUAUAACGGUCCUAAGGUAGCGAAAUUCCUUGUCGGGUAAGUUCCGACCUGCACGAAUGGAGUAACGACGGCCACACUGUCUCCACCCGAGACUCAGUGAAAUUGAAAUUGCUGUUAAGAUGCAGUAUACCCGCGGCCAGACGGAAAGACCCCGUGCACCUUUACUACAGCUUUGCAUUGAACUCUGAUCCUACUUGUGUAGGAUAGGUGGGAGGCUUUGAAGCUUUAACGCUAGUUAGAGUGGAGCCACCCUUGAAAUACCACCCUGGUAUGGUUGGGGUUCUAACCUAGGUCCGUAAUCCGGAUCGGGAACAAUGCAUGGUGGGUAGUUUGACUGGGGCGGUCUCCUCCCAAAGAGUAACGGAGGAGCGCAAAGGUAUCCUCAGCACGGUCGGACAUCGUGCAAUGAGCGCAAAGGUAAAAGGAUGCUUGACUGCGAGACUGACACGUCGAGCAGGUAGGAAACUAGGUCUUAGUGAUCCGGUGGUUCUGAGUGGAAGGACCAUCGCUCAACGGAUAAAAGGUACGCCGGGGAUAACAGGCUGAUAC